AGAGUUUGAUCCUGGCUCAGGAUGAACGCUGGCGGUAUGCCUAACACAUGCAAGUCGAACGCACUCUUAAUUGAGUGAGUGGCGGACGGGUGAGUAACACGUGAGAAUCUGCCUCUUGGUCGGGGAUAACAGUUGGAAACGACUGCUAAUACCGGAUGAGCCUAAGGGUAAAAAAUUUAUUGCCAAGAGAAGAGCUCGCGCCUGAUUAGCUAGAUGGUGGGGUAAAAGCCUACCAUGGCGACGAUCAGUAGCUGGUCUGAGAGGAUGAGCAGCCACACUGGGACUGAGACACGGCCCAGACUCCUACGGGAGGCAGCAGUGGGGAAUUUUCCGCAAUGGGCGAAAGCCUGACGGAGCAAUACCGCGUGAGGGAGGAAGGUUCUUGGAUCGUAAACCUCAAAACUUAGGGAAGAAACAAAUGACGGUACCUAAUAUAAGCAUCGGCUAACUCCGUGCCAGCAGCCGCGGUAAUACGGAGGAUGCAAGCGUUAUCCGGAAUUAUUGGGCGUAAAGAGUCUGUAGGUGGCACUUCAAGUCUACUGUCAAAGACCGAAGCUUAACUUCGGAAAGGCGGUGGAAACUGAAGAGCUAGAGUAAAGCAGGGGUAGAGGGAAUUCCCAGUGUAGCGGUGAAAUGCGUAGAGAUUGGGAAGAACACCAGUGGCGAAGGCGCUCUGCUGGGCUUUAACUGACACUGAGAGACGAAAGCUAGGGUAGCGAAAGGAUUAGAUACCCCUGUAGUCCUAGCGGUAACGAUGGAUACUAGGCGUAGACCCUUUAUGGGGCUGUGUCGAAGCAAACGCGUUAAGUAUCCCGCCUGGGGAGUACGCACGCAAGUGUGAAACUCAAAGGAAUUGACGGGGACCCGCACAAGCGGUGGAGUAUGUGGUUUAAUUCGAUGCAACGCGAAGAACCUUACCAAGGCUUGACAUCCGACGAAUCUUCUAGAGAUAGGAGAGUGCCUUAGGGAACGUCGUGACAGGUGGUGCAUGGCUGUCGUCAGCUCGUGUCGUGAGAUGUUGGGUUAAGUCCCGCAACGAGCGCAACCCUCGUCCUUAGUUGCCAGCAUUAAGUUGGGGACUCUAGGGAGACCGCCGGGGAAAACUCGGAGGAAGGUGAGGAUGACGUCAAGUCAGCAUGCCCCUUAUGUCUUGGGCUACACACGUACUACAAUGGUUGGGACAAAGGGAAGCGAACUCGCGAGAGGGAGCGAAUCUCAUCAAACCCAGCCUCAGUUCAGAUUGCAGGCUGAAACUCGCCUGCAUGAAGGAGGAAUCGCUAGUAAUCGCAGGUCAGCAUACUGCGGUGAAUCCGUUCCCGGGUCUUGUACACACCGCCCGUCACACCAUGGAAGUUGGUCACGCCCGAAGUCGUUAUUUCAACCAUUUAUGGAGAAAGAUGCCGAAGGUGGGACUAGUGACUGGGGUGAAGUCGUAACAAGGUAGCCGUA
rnacentral:rRNA from 1 species